rnacentral:lncRNA from 1 species
CUUUUUUCCUUCCUCUACUGGAUCUUCGCCCGAUGCCUCCCCGCAAAGCAUCCAUCCGACGAUCCACGGCCUCCGCGGCCAGAUCUCAGGCUCCGGCCUCACCUCCAGUUUCUCAGGCUCCUCCUUCGGCAACGGUGGUUGGCACGGAGCAAUUCGACCUACUGGUUCAGCAGGUCAGAGGCCUCACUGAAGCGGUGCAGGCCAUGCAGCAGCAGCAACAGCCGUAGGCGUCAGUGCGACUGGAGAGAACGUCAUCGGAACUCCAAAAUUCGACGGUAGGACGGGUCACUUGGGCCAGUCGCCCCGCCUUUCCCGAAAAGACGAAUCCGAGGGUGGAGAGCCCUUAGUCAGAUUACGAUUCUACUCUUGGAAGAUCUCUACCUCCAUUCUGCUAGAAGACCCUCGAGACCCGUAGUCGAGAGGAUUUCCUGGAUCGAAGGCUCCAGGAGAUGAACCGGCGGAUCGAAGAACUCCGCCACACUCCCCCCGCUUAUGGUGAGGACAUUUGUACUGAUCCUCCCUUCUCUCACAUGAUCAUGCAGGAAUCAAUCCCGCCAAACUUCAAUCUCCCUCAAUUUGAAAGCUACGACGGGACUUCGGACCCAGUUGACCACCUGGAG